AACGAACGCUGGCGGCAUGCCUAACACAUGCAAGUCGAACGAGACCUUCGGGUCUAGUGGCGAACGGGUGCGUAACGCGUGGGAACCUGCCCUUAGGUUCGGAAUAACUCCCCGAAAGGGGUGCUAAUACCGGAUAAUGUCUUCGGACCAAAGAGUUAUCGCCUUUGGAUGGGCCCGCGUUGGAUUAGCUAGUUGGUAGGGUAAAAGCCUACCAAGGCGACGAUCCAUAGCUGGUCUGAGAGGAUGAUCAGCCACACUGGGACUGAGACACGGCCCAGACUCCUACGGGAGGCAGCAGUGGGGAAUAUUGGACAAUGGGCGAAAGCCUGAUCCAGCAAUGCCGCGUGAGUGAUGAAGGCCUUAGGGUUGUAAAGCUCUUUUACCCGGGAUGAUAAUGACAGUACCGGGAGAAUAAGCUCCGGCUAACUCCGUG
rnacentral:rRNA from 1 species